rnacentral:ncRNA from 1 species
UUGAGCCCGGUGCCGCGACGAGUGGCACGCCGGGUUCUGAAGGGGCGGGGGCGCAGCAACGCGCCCCCGCUACCUGAC